UACGAAGGGGACUAGCGUUGUUCGGAAUCACUGGGCGUAAAGCGCACGUAGGCGGAUGUGUCAGUCAGGGGUGAAAUCCCGGAGCUCAACUUCGGAACUGCCUUUGAUACAGCACAUCUGGAGUCCGGAAGAGGUGGGUGGAAUUCCUAGUGUAGAGGUGAAAUUCGUAGAUAUUAGGAAGAACACCGGUGGCGAAGGCGGCCCACUGGUCCGGUACUGACGCUGAGGUGCGAAAGCGUGGGGAGCAAACAGG
rnacentral:rRNA from 1 species